rnacentral:rRNA from 1 species
UACAGAGGGUGCGAGCGUUGUUCGGAAUUAUUGGGCGUAAAGGGCGCGUAGGCGGUUGCGUAAGUCACUUGUGAAAUCUCCUGGCUCAACUGGGAGCUUGCAGGCGAAACUGCGUGACUGGAGUGUGGGAGAGGUGCGUGGAAUUCCCGGUGUAGCGGUGAAAUGCGUAGAUAAUCGGGAGGAACACCUGUGGCGAAAGCGGCGCACUGGACCACAACUGACGCUGAGGCGCGAAAGCUAGGGGAGCAAACAGGG